UCAAGUAGUCUAUUGUUUAUUGUCACUAGUAUUAUAGCGAAGGAAAAUACAUUAAUAGUAGUAAUUACAAUGGUGUGUGAAUUAUAUCUGAUAUAAGAAUCUGUCUGUCUAGCUAUCUAUUCAUCUAUUUGUUCUAUAUGUUCAUCUGUUUAUCUCCAAGAGCAAUUUGAUGGAUACUCCUGGCACCAAAUUUCAACAAGGACUCCCUGAAACACAUGACUAUUUUAACAUGGGAUGAUGCUGAAACCCCCGAAGACAAUGAGAUUACCACUCCUGGCACCAAAUUUCAACAAGGACUCCCUGAAACACAUGACUAUUUUAACAUGGGAUGAUGCUGAAACCCCCAAAGAUGUGGUGAAAUGAACACUUCAAAAUAGCCUCCUAGAAGGCCUUGUCUACUGAGGACCUAAAGUCUUCUUUCUUGGGAGUCUUGAGGAAGCGGCAAUGGACAUCACAAGCACCGUUAUGUGGAUUUACAAUAACUGCAGACAUGAGAAUCCCAUAGACUGUUGAUGUGGGGACUGUGAUCGAGGCCAUGAAACUUUGCCAAUGUCAUCUCGUCCAUCAUGCUCUACUUACGGAUGCUCUUCAUCAACUACAGGUGUGUUAACCCCUCUUGGUACCAGGACAACAGCCUAGGUCAAACCAAGGACCUAAUGGUGGACUACAGGAGACUGGAGCAAGAGGAGCACACACCCGUCUACCCCUCUCACUACAAAGAACUUUACUCUACUGUAACUGACCCUUGGCAGAUGGGUUGGGCCCUUGAGUCGUGGAUCUGUCUGAGGUUUCUUCCUAUAUGUAUCUCCAAUUCUAGGGAGUUUUUCCUUGCCCCUGUUGCUCAUGGGCUCUCUUUGAAGGUUUAACAC